CACCUCACGCGGUCCCCCACCAGAGCUAUCACCAGUCAGUGGCGUCUAUAAAUACAAGUGCACGCGAGAUGUUGACCACUUGCAUUGCAGACUUCUGAUACAAAUUCUUGCAACCUGCAAGAUCUUUUCUUUUACUCGCUAACAUGAAAAUUGACUGCGCGCUCGCCUUCGCGUUCUGCAUUUGUCUCCUCGCUCGAUAUGCUGAAAGAAUCAUGUUGCCAAUGUUUGUGACCAGGAUUCUGAAGUCGAUUCAGUUAUCUCCCGAAGAGUUCAAAGCGUCACAAGAACAGCGUCACGUAAACGAGUAUCAGCAAUUGUACACAUCUUACCGCGAACAGCAUGGAUGAGGCGACAUCUGAAGGAUACAGUCGAAUCACUAGCGCAAGGGGACAACUGGCAUGAUUUCAACACAAUGCGCCUGCUAUAUAGCAGCAAAAAAGUGGUAAUCUUAUCAUGGAGACAAAGAAGAUAUUAAAAAUGUUGAUAUUAUAUGAAUGCCAUAACAAAGAUGACUCCGUGAACAAUGUAUGUAUCAAAAUUAAGACAAGGUGGUUAACAUAUUUUAAUAUUCUGACCAAGUUUGGGUUGCAGCCUUUACCAUAGAAUAAAAGAAAGGACCGUUACAUAGAAAAUAUAUUUUUCUUCAGAACUGUCUGAUAAUUAAAUGCCAUUAACAUACAAAGGAAAAGCGACAAAAUUAUUUCAACGUUACAGUGACCUUUCGGAAAUUUAAGUUAGUAACUUUUAGAAGAUCAAAGCCUUCAUUUGUGCCCCUGUCCUGAAAUAAAUGAGAUAUUGUUAAUGUAACAAAUUUUGUAGAUUUAUAAGAAGCACUUAUUAAACAAUUUCCCUAAAAUGUGGAAGUUGUUUAGGCUAUAAACUGUACAAACCGGUGCUGUUGCGAGCAAAUGUUAAUGAAAAUAUUAUUUAUUUGCAUAAAAUUUACGUCACCACCAAAUCAUUAAAUGUUACUCAAUAUUAGUUCUUAACUAUCGUAUUUAAGUUGUCUUGGUUAUUUAACGUCGAAUGGCAGGAUGUUCUGUAAAUAAUGAAUCGUAAAGGAUGUGAAAGGAAGCGACAUGAACCACAAUGUGUUAAGUACGGCUAACAUACAUAGCGCAGCCUCUCUAGUGAAACACCAAAGUAAUGCUUGAAAUCAUGUCAUUACUCCAGAUUGUUUUUCUGUACAAAAUAAGAAUAUGUUAAUAAAUUUAUAUGUAAAUAUAUAUUUUAUGUAAAAAUGAUAAAAUACAGAAAUAGAUAAAUAUAUUAUUCGUUA